rnacentral:rRNA from 1 species
CACGUAGGGUGCGAGCGUUGUCCGGAAUUAUUGGGCGUAAAGGGCUCGUAGGCGGUUUGUCGCGUCGGGAGUGAAAUCCACUGGCUUAACUGGUGGCUUGCUUUCGAUACGGGCAGACUGGAGGUAUGCAGGGGGAGAACGGAAUUCCUGGUGUAGCGGUGAAAUGCGCAGAUAUCAGGAGGAACACCGGUGGCGAAGGCGGUUCUCUGGGCAUGUCCUGACGCUGAGGAGCGAAAGUGUGGGGAGCGAACAGG